UCCCAUUCCAUGUACGAAAAGGAAGAAGCCCUGUUCUUCUCUUCUUCUUCAAUGGCAGAGAGAGCACGUGGAGGAGCCACCCAUUCGGCGGUCAACACAAAUCGCUCUCGAUAAUGGAGAUUCUCCUACCCCAUGCCGCUGUCAGCCCUGCUUAGCCAGCUGGUGUCGCCAGAAAGGGGUGGGUCAGUUUAGAUUACCUUUUAAAUUUUCAUGCAAAUAAUUUUCUCAUGUGGCAAGCUACAAAUGCUGUCUGAAAGCUUAAAUGAUUUAUUGUGUAUUAGAUCAGCUUAACUAGACUAGCGUUUGAGUUGUGUAAACUAAAAAGAUAAACAAAGGGACUUAACCAAGCUAUUAAAACUUUAAUAAACGGACUUGAUAUUGAAGAGGUUAUUUAGAUUUUUAUGCACAUCAAUGGAUGGAGUAGGGAGAGAAUAUAUGAUGUGCUUGGGACACCCAUCAAUAUGAAAUUAGAGCCUCUCACUUUGAGAGUGGCCGCAUCAUGGCCGUUGCCAUAAGCAUCUCAUUCCAUUGCCAGCCUUGCCGUAGCCAUUCCCCUGCAUAGCAAUGAAUCACUUUGAGCCCCAGCUUUAGAAAGUAGGUUCCAGAUUCCCAGGGAAUUUUUCAGUUUUUAAGCAACCUUUUCAAAAACUGAUCGUUUUUCAAAACAAGUUUUUUCCUUCUGGUAGUUGCUUGUUGGAGAUAUUCGCACAUUUGUGCGUAGAUAUUUUAAACUAUAUAUACUGAUUUACUUAUUCUUUUGGUAAAUUAAUUGCAAGAUGAUUCAUCUAGAAGAAGAAAGAAAUUCAUUUUUUUAGCAUAUUGAAAACGUUUUCAUAUUGGAAGUUUAUUUAAGAAAAGCAGCAAGAACGAUAUGAUUCUUGAUUGAAAUAGUAUUAUCACAGUAUUACGUGAAUAACAUAGAAAUUUCCUUUUAGGCAUGGUUAUAUUGCCGUCUUAAAGAACUGUUUGAUGUAAAACAUACUGAUCACGGAAAUUUUUCUGCAGCCCAAACAAAAAUCUUAGAUAAAUCACUCUUCAGUUUGUUCGUUUGCCAUUUAUUUAGUUUCUACCUUCUGAGAAAUAGUUUCAAUAUUGUCUUUUGAGUUUCUGAGACUGUUCCACGGAAGUUCAAACACCAGAUUUCGGGGCUAAAUAGAUCAAAAAGGGUAAUUUAUCCAACUCUUAAUAUAAAAGCUUUGGUGAAACAGAAACCCAUCACCAUUCCAAAAUAUUUGUGGGAAAAGUGUAUCAAAUCAAGGUGAAGAAAGAAGGGGAGAUUUGAGUAUCAGAUAAUGUUGGUGGUGCUUUGUCCACCAACCAUUCCUGGCCUCUGUGGAGCCAUUACUUUUAGAGUACAGUUCUGUUUAGGAUAGUUUAUUGAGGGGAGGCACUAGCGGCCAACAACAGGUAGAAAAUCAAGGAGCCUAAAGCCCUGAAUAUUUGGCCAUUUCUGCUUUAUAUAACUUUUCGCAUUUGCGUGAUUCUCUCUUUGCACAUGAAUUCGGCAAUAUCCUGAUGCCUGUGCUCACCCUCCUCUCUUUUCGUCUUCUCGCAUCUGAUAUACAUGAUUUGUUGUGAUCUCUUGACCCACGUACACACAAAACAAAACAGAGAACAUGGUUUAUAUUCUCUUUUAGUUUUCUUCACUUCCAUAUUUUAUUUGGAUUUGAUCCCUACUUUUUGAGUAAUGUGUUCCAGUCUUUCAGUGUUGAAGUUUUCUGUUUCCAUGGUUGAACUUUACUUCAAAUUCUAUUUUAAUCCUUUAAUUCUUCAUAUAUUGUGUUCUAGUCUUUCUGUUUCGAAAUUUCUGUUUCAAUCGUUGAACUUUACCUAAAAUUCUAUUUCAAUCCUUUAAUUAUUCAUUGAUUGCUUAAAAAAACUUUCGAAUCUAUUUCAGAGCCUAACAUGCUCCUACCUUAUCAUAUGUGGUAGUGUUUUCAUGAGGUCGUUAGUUGUCAUUAUGAUUAUAUUUUAAUGGAUCUAAUUUCUACUUAUUAUUUAUAGUUAGAUGUCAACCGGAGCAUGGCUGUAUUGGUCAAGUCAUUAGUCAUCUCUCUUUUAGGUUGAAUGUUUAUUAUGUGGGUCAAGUGCCAUGAAGUGGGUAAGAUUUUUAAUUUUAUGUGGCUCUCUCCAAAAUUAUGACAUUUGGAUUGAUAAAAAAUGUUGCCGGUGUCAAUUUAUGAGGUUAUUGAUUGUUUCUGCCGAAUUUCUUCUCUUGAAAAACUUAAUCAAAACCCAACUUCACCGGACGCUUUCGUUCACAUGAUUAA